UACGAAGGACCCAAGCGUUAUCCGGAUUUAUUGGGUUUAAAGGGUGCGUAGGCGGAUUUGUAAGUCAGUGGUGAAAUCCUGCAGCUUAACUGCAGAACUGCCAUUGAAACUGCUUAUCUUGAGUACAUUUGAGGCGGGCGGAAUGUGUCAUGUAGCGGUGAAAUGCUUAGAUAUGACACAGAACACCAAUUGCGAAGGCAGCUCGCUAAACUGUAACUGACGCUGAUGCACGAAAGCGUGGGGAUCCAACAGG
rnacentral:rRNA from 1 species